CUAACUAACAAAUAACAUUAACAAAAAAAAAUUACCCCAGGGAUAACAGCACAAUAAUCAUUGAGAGAUCUCAUCCAAAUGAUUGAUUAUGACCUCGAUGUUGAAUCAUUUGUAUAUAUAGUUUGCAGAAGAACCUUAUUUCCGUCUGUUCGACGAUAGAGCAUUACGUG
rnacentral:rRNA from 1 species